CCUACGGGCGGCUGCAGUGGGGAAUAUUGCACAAUGGGCGCAAGCCUGAUGCAGCCAUGCCGCGUGUGUGAAGAAGGCCUUCGGGUUGUAAAGCACUUUCAGCGGGGAGGAAGGCGGUGAGGUUAAUAACCUCAUCGAUUGACGUUACCCGCAGAAGAAGCACCGGCUAACUCCGUGCCAGCAGCCGCGGUAAUACGGAGGGUGCGAGCGUUAAUCGGAAUUACUGGGCGUAAAGCGCACGCAGGCGGUCUGUCAAGUCGGAUGUGAAAUCCCCGGGCUCAACCUGGGAACUGCAUUCGAAACUGGCAGGCUAGAGUCUUGUAGAGGGGGGUAGAAUUCCAGGUGUAGCGGUGAAAUGCGUAGAGAUCUGGAGGAAUACCGGUGGCGAAGGCGGCCCCCUGGACAAAGACUGACGCUCAGGUGCGAAAGCGUGGGGAGCAAACAGGAUUAGAUACCCUGGUAGUC
rnacentral:rRNA from 1 species